AAUGACCCUCAGCCUGGACCUUCCUGAUGUUUCCUCAUGACCAGCCUCAGAUCAUUCUUUCUUUGCAAGAAUACCACCAAAAUGAUGCUGUGCUCUUCUCAGUGCAUCACAUAAGGAACCAGCUGCCAUGUUACAGAGAAGUUCAGUUUUGACUACUGAGUGAUGAGAAGACAAGUAGAGACAGGCCCUGGAGGAUAGUCUUGGACAUUCCACACCUAGGUGAGCUCCCAGCUGAAUACAACCACUUGAGUGACCUCAUCUCCACCACAUGGAGCAGGAAAAUGCUCAGUUCUCAAGAGGAAGAGGCUUGCUACCCUAUGCAGGGCCACGUGGGGAAGCACCAAGUUCUGUCAAGAAACAGAAGUAAAGGUAUAGCAUGGCCUUUAUUGUGGUUUUCAUGGGAAGGAAUGGGCAAGGUAGGUAAUCAGGGU